UUUGUUAUUCUCACAAUAUCCCCUAUUUUUUAUGAUUUUGUUAAAGAGAUCAAGAGUGCGCAAAUAUUAAUUAAAGAAUUAAAAAUGCUCCCAUGAUAAUUUUUGCCCUAAACGUCCUUACGCCGUCGUUCCCGUUCCCGCUUAAUUUAGCCCUAAAAUCGUCCUUGCGGCGUCGUUCCAGUUCCCGCCUCCUCAACUGUAUCCUCUCUUCGCCCGGCAGGCCGGCACAUUGUUUUCUCAUACGCAGUAACAGGAAAACGGAACGAGUACGGGUCGUACUUCGCCGCGCGCCGCCGUCAACUCCAUCACAGAUUGGCUCCUCAGUCUCUUGUCGGGAACAAUGGCGGGACCGGUGUAGUAGAUCGGCAGAUGCAUGUACUGUCCAUGUGCAUCCUUCAAUUAGAACUCCGGUUACACCUAUUUUCGAUGUAAUCCGUUCCAAGGAGUACUUGGAUUAUGAAACACUGCCGUCAGAAAGGGUAAUUACGUAAUUUACUGUGUCAAUGAAUUCAAUGUUUUUGUGUAUUUGCUGAUUGGUUGUUCAGGGAGAAGGGUGAUAGAAAAGUGGGCAUGGUGUUCGGAGGGGGAAAGUAAUAGUGAAGUUUUUGAGGGAUUAAUGUGAAAAGCAUUAUCGAAAUUCCUUGGAGCUGUAAAGAAGAAAAAAGGUUGGUUGUUCGAUCGUCAAUUUUGCUGUUUUACUACUUUGUGAUAAACCUCCAUUUUACUGGUCGGAAUCUCAUAAAAUAAAAACUUUAGAUAUUUUUCAUAGAAGGAGGAUGGGACUACCUUUGAAAUCAAGAGAAUACUGGCACCCAAUCAAGAAAGAAUCACUUUGGACGAUUAGACUGAGCUUCCUCUUUGUAUCUUUUUCGAGCUAACGACGAACUAAAUCUCUAAGUGAUAGUAGUCCAUGAAAGUAUCUUAUCUUUUCCGUUCAAGAAAUUGCUUUUAUAAGAAGGACUAGCUACUCUGCUGGAAUUGAUGUUUUUGGGAAAUAAUAAUUUUAUUAGCCUACAAAGAUUCACACCUUGUUUAGAUUAUAGCUACCAAAUCUUGGGUUUCUCUUUCGGCGCUUCAGCUGGAGUAAUGACAAUGGAAGUGUGAUUCAUUUUCAGUUGCUUUUUGGGAAUGUAAACUAGUAAGGGGAUCAUUUGUUGAGAGGUAAGAUCAGCUUGAUACUCAGGGAACUUGCUAUGGUUUCAAAGGUGGUGAAAAAACGGAGCUAUAUGUUGUGCUUCCGAAUACCUUGGCUCCUUUCAUCUCUUUGGACUGUUGAUAGAUGAGAAGAUAAAGGUAAUCAUGAUCUAUUCUGUAAGUUUACUUGGUUUGGUUCCACAUAACUGAGGUGAGUUUGACUGAAAAUAGAAGAUACAAAGACAACAAGCUACUCUCUUUCUCUACAAUGAAUUAAGUAGAUCAUUCAACUAGAAUGCAAAAUGAAUGUCCAAUUGGUGACCACAAUGGCACAACAUACUCCUCCAACCCCAAGAAUGAAAUAAAAACAAAAGGAAGUCAAAAGUAAUCUUUAUCUCCUGGCAUAAUUUUGUGAAAUAAUCUUUUAAACUGUCCUGGAGACUUUCCUUCUUCCCUUAUCAAACCUGACUAAGAGCAUUGAUGGAGUUUAAAAAGAAAUAAUAGCUGAAGUAGUGAACUAGAAGAUAGAAAUAACCGUGAAGAAGCAGGGGAGACGGAAGAAAGAGCAAGAUGAAAUCCAAUAUAUCUAACUUGGGGAUCUUGACAGUUUACAUAACAUUCAUACUUAAAUACAUCAAAUUUCUUACCUAAGAGUUUGUAAAAUGUUGUUUCUGCUGGAGUUCUAGCAUGUACAAAUAGAUAUAUUGGUGUGUUACCAUCACCACUAAAUGUAUCAACACAUAAAGACAAGGAAGGGGAUGGCCUAGUAGAAUAACCCCCUCCACCUCGAACAAUGAAGUCAAGGAUUUUCAAUGGCAUCAAACAAGCAUUAAGUGGUGCUGGUCUAUUUCAUACAUCAGCAGCGAAAGCUAAAAAUAGAAAUGGAGAGGAAGAGCUAAGGAUCAAAAUAGGUUGACUAUUUUAUACUCAUCUAUACAUGAAAAGUUUCGAAGGUCUCUAGUAAAGUCUCAGCCUCCCUUGUGUAUUUUACGCCAACAAGUAAACAAAAGUAAACGCCAUUGUUUGCAACAAAUUUUUACGUGAUGGGAAAUAAACUGCAAUAUUUGUGAUGAAAGACAGUGACUUGAGGGUGUAUUCAAUCGUUACAAAUGUCAGGUGGUGGCUUUGACAAAGACAGUAUUUGGAGAAUACUCAGUAGUUUAUGAGAUUUCGAAGUGCCUAUUCAAAAGGUUAUAUGUAAUCUUUUAUGCAGGCAUAAGCUAGGAUUUAGGUAGAGUAGUCUUCACAAACUCUUAACACAAAUUAGACUUGUUAUGCAAAGUCUCACAAAAUUUCAAUGUCUAUACCAUCUUAAUUUUGUGCUAUGCUAAGUCGAACUCUUUCAAGUUGUCUCAGAGAUAAAUAAGUAAUGUAAGAGAAUUUAAUGUUA